AAUGAUAUAAGUAUGACAGAACAAAUGAGAAAUAGGAAGAAGAAACAAAACAAGAUAAAAGAAAAGAGCAAGAUUAAGUAGAGGAAAAGAAAAUGUAGAAGAUAUUGCCAUUGAGAUUAUAUUUAUAGAUCAGGAAGAUAGUGUCAGUUUGAUAGAUGAAGGGGAUAGUGGUAGUUUGAUUGUAGAUCAAGAAGAUAGUGUCAGUUUGAUUGUAGAUGAAGGGAAAAGUGGUAGUUUGGUUGUGGAUCAAGAAGAUAGUAUCAGUUUGAUUGUUAGAUGAAGGGAAAAGUGGUAGUUUGUUUGUAGAUCAAGAAGGUAGUGUCAGUUUGAUUGUAGAUGAAGGGAAAAGUGGUAGUUUGGUUGUAGAUCAAGAAGAUAGUGUCAGUUUGAUUG
rnacentral:lncRNA from 1 species